UACGUAGGGAGCAAGCGUUGUCCGGAAUCAUUGGGCGUAAAGCGCGCGUAGGUGGCCUCGUAAGUCCGCUGUGAAAGUCAAAGGCUCAACCUUUGAAAGCCGGUGGAUACUGUGAGGCUAGAGUACGGAAGAGGCGAGUGGAAUUCCUGGUGUAGCGGUGGAAUGCGCAGAUAUCAGGAGGAACACCAAUAGCGAAGGCAGCUCGCUGGGACGUUACUGACACUGAGACGCGAAAGCGUGGGGAGCAAACAGG
rnacentral:rRNA from 1 species